rnacentral:rRNA from 1 species
UACGUAGGUGGCAAGCGUUGUCCGGAUUUACUGGGCGUAAAGAGCGCGCAGGCGGUCGUUCAAGUCGCGUGUGAAAGCCCCCGGCUCAACUGGGGAGGGUCACGCGAUACUGAUCGACUCGAAGGCAGGAGAGGGUAGUGGAAUUCCCGGUGUAGUGGUGAAAUGCGUAGAUAUCGGGAGGAACACCAGUGGCGAAGGCGGCAUUCUGGACCAAUAUUGACGCUGAGGAGCGAAAGCCAGGGGAGCAAACGGG